CUCUUUAGGAUUUAGUUCAGUGUUAAUCAGAGAGGCAAAGCUAGGCAAUUUCUGUCUUAUACUUCUAUUUGAAGAACAAGAAAAACUAGGAGAAAAUCUUUUAUAUAGAAGCAAAUAACACUACAGAAGCAAACUUUACCUUAGGUGAGCUAGUCCCCCUUGCAUCCCUCUACAAGCAGCAGAAAGGCUCCUCUUGACAGUAAUUCAGAGGAUCUAUGUGUCUCUUGACCACAGAGCAGGACUAGGGAGAUUUCUCCCUAGAGUAAAGUUAAGCCUGUGGAAAUGUCUCUCAAGUUUCUCUAUUAGAAACAAAUUCUGCUUUACGCCAGACUACAGUAUUCAGUGCUGGUAAAAUGUACGAUGGACAAUUACAGCAUUGGCAUUAUCUGCCAGGGCUUGUCUAAUUAAUUGCAGGAAUGAGAGGACAUGUUGUCUUUUAAAUUAUUUUUUAAGAAGGAAAGUACUUAAUCCCAUUUUUGCCAUUUGACUUGACGCAACACUAGAUAUAGGAAGUGAUUCUAUAUUUUGUAUACUGAAUAUAUAAUCCCAUUCUCAUUUCUCACUGUCAAAGAUAUCUAGUGAUCUCAUGUGGAAAGUUCAGAGUGCUGUGUCACGGUCAGUAUAUUUGGUUUCUUUGGAACUAGGCAACCCCAACUUAGUCUAUUCCAAAUAACAACAUUUCUUAUUAAUAGGGUUCUUUUUACAGUAUUGAUAGUACUUGGCAGCAACGGAGAAUUACGUGUGCUAGAUGAUGGCCUAGUUAAUUGCGGAAUUUGAUUCUCCUUUAUCUCCUGAGCUGACUUUCAAAUUCUUACUCUUUUUACCUGAGAAACAUUUUGCAAACAUUAGAAACCAAACUGUGAAGGAACCCAGGAUUUUUGUUCUCAGGUCUGGUAACAAUCUCAUGUCUUGCAAAGAUCCUGAAGCUGUUCUGACUUUAGGGGCUUUUGAAAACAUCUGUUAAUGCACCUUAUUAAAAUAAUCUCAUCUGAAGACAAGACUGUAAGACCCAGUACAGAUCUCUGAAGGUAUCUGGAGAGCUCUCCAUAAUUUCACUGUGCUGUGGAGAAGACCACUAGACCCUUUAAGAGGGAAACUGUUUUCAGUCAGUAUGAAAGUGUCUGUGAUUCUGUUAAAAAUGUCUCUUCCAGCCUCUCCUCUACUUUUUAAACUGCCAAUUCUAUGCUUGCUUCUCUCCUGAUCACUGUGGUGACUUAAUUUGUUCUUAAAUUCAAACUGCAAGCUCCUCUAAGCAUUUUUCAAAGCCUUUUGAUAUAGUUCCUUUCUCCCUCUAACGACUUCAGAAUGAGCAGACAGAUUUAGAAGUCCUUUUUCCUCUUCCCAUGUGUCCUGGUUUCAUCUAGUUAGUUGUCAUCUGGGAUUAAACCAUGACACUGCUAGGAGUUUCAGAGAGAAUGGAAGAAGGCAAGCAGAGGAUCCUUCCUCCACAGUGCUAGAAGAGGGUUCCUUUCUCAGGCACUUCCAAACAUGUGCCUUGUUGAACAGCCUGGCACAAUGUUUAUAAAUGGAUUUUCUGGGUUCAUGACCUAUUUCAAAAGAAGUGCUGGAAGCCAACACAUUUUGUUCUGUCUUAUCUGGGUACACUGGGCACCUGUUACAGAGAAGAUUCUUCACCCAGGCCUCUCCACUGGGUAAAUUUAAGCUUCUGUCCAGGUAAGAAAAGGUCUUGAAUAAAAAGGAACAGCCCUGGGUGAAUCCCAUAGAAAGUAAGAUGAUAUGCAGAUAAGAUCUUUGGUGUUUUCAAAAUUAUUAUUCUUUUCUGAACAUUCAAGCAUGUUUAUUCAUAUGACACUGUUAGUAUUCCAUAACUUUUAAGUGCCUCACAUGACCAGAUUGAAAUUUAAUUUUGAGUACAUUUAAAUAGAUACCAAUUAUAUUUUCCUAUAACCAUACAAGUUUGGGACAAAAUUUUACCAACCAUUUUACAUGAAAGCAUUAUCUGCUUUUUAAAGUGCAAGAGAAUGCAUGAGAAUCACCACCAGGUGUGUCUAAACUGUCAGCUAUGCAGUUAAGAGGAAUUAGUGUAUAAAUUUUUUUUCUUGACCAUGAAAGUCAAACGAUUCAUAUGUACCAAAGUAUGUUUCUUAAACAUACAUAGAGCAUUUUCCAUGUCAGUUCCAGAGGCUGCAGUCUGCAAGAGUAGUGUAAGGACUGGGGAUGCUGUUGGGCUGAAACUAGCUGAAAUUCCUUCUACAUUUCAGAGGUUUUGCAUACACUGUAGGAGAUUGGGCAGUGCUCUAAGAGAACAGAGAACAAGAUACGUAAGAUCUGUGAAACAGUAAGAGGUGAGAUUUGAUUAUGUGGUUGUAGAUAAUUGUAUUUUUACCACCUUGGAAACUUAGCACCAUGCUCUCCUCCUCCUCCUCCCCUCAGCUUCCUAGCAUUCACCAAUAGCAAAAAAAUCCCCAUUCAGUUUGGCGCAUGAAAAUCUUGAAAGGACGCGGAUGAGAUUCCUAUUAGGGUUUUGGAAAUCUGCUGUCAUCCCAUCAGCCCACAGAAACACUCCAAAAUACCAUAUUCUGGGGGAGAGAAUGGAAAGUAUCUAAAGCACCAAAUGUGGCAGCUGGAAGCAAUUUAAAAAAAUACAUAAGAGGGGUAGGCCAGUGUUAUGAGGAGUAAGAGAGGCAGCUGGGAGAUUUAAAAUGGAAGGCCUGGGAGCAGCUGAAAGAUGCCAACAGGCUGCUAGUGAGAACAUCUGAGAGAAAACAUGCCAAAAUGAUAAGAAAAACAGCUGGAGAAAAACAGUAUUUCAAAGCCUCUGAAACAGAGAUGGAUAUGCAAAUUCUGCUAACUAUUGAAUGAGUAAAUUAAUUACAGUUUGGUUUUUUUCUGCUUUCAUAAAUUCCUCUUGUUUUCUCAAAUGACCUCCUUCUGUAGAACCUGAAAGUGACCUUUUCUGCUGUGUCUUCCUCCUCUUGACCUUUUGGUUUUUGGUUUUUCCUCCACAGAAAAUAGGUGUCUCUGAACAAUCCUGUUCACUUGUUGAUAGUAUAUUAAGCUAAUGUUUUAACUGUUGAUUUUUCUAUUUCCUGACCUUAUUAAGACUUUCCCUGCUUAUCAUUCUGAAUGUGAAAACCUCUUGGUGGAACACCAUUCUCUGUGAAGGAAAUGCACAGGUAGCAGCUGAUUCUAAUAACUCCAAGUCUCACUCUGGGUAGGGCCUGUAAGAUUUAGAUGGCUUUGUAUUGCAGAGGUCUAGCUGGAGGAGCUGACAGGCUUGAAGAGUCUGAUGAACUGCCUCUAGAAUUUGACAGGCUCUAAAACAAGUUUGUAAUAAGAACGUGGUGACUUUGGGAAGUUAGCUAUAAAAAUACACAGUGGAGCAGAUUUUCAAGAUUUUAUGCAUUACAGUUGCAAAUGUAAUUUCUUAUGUAUUUUAUUAUACACGCAGCUCAUCAUUUACAUCUGAUUACAUAUUUGAAUCUAGUCUAGGUGUGUGCAUCAGUGAUGUAAAGACAUAUGCCAAUAUCUGAUAGAGUAGCAUGUUCUCUACCUUUGAAAUUGUAUCUCUGCUGUUUUUCAUCUGUGAAAGCAAGAGACAGUAUAUAUGUACUUUUUCCCCCCAUAGAUCAUAAGGAACAAAGAGCUUAUGUGAAAAGAAGAGUACCGGAGAAGAUCUUAAUAGAUUCUGUCCCAUCAAAGAUAGAAAUACAGCAACAUGAAAAGAGCAAACAUGCUGUCUAGCUUCUCUGAAGCUGUUUGCUAAUGACCUCCAAUGAACUGGAAACUGCUAGAAAGCAUAGUCUCAGCUUGAAACCUGAGAGAAGGAACAAUAGCAGACUGAGAGAAGGAUGCAAAGCAGGGAUGAACAAAAAAUGGCUGGAUGUAAACUUAUUGCAUGGCUCCUGCAAGGUAAUCUUACUAGUCAAUAAGCUGUAAUAUUAAAUGUAUUGUAAGGCUGAGUGGUGUUCCUUUUCUGGCAUUUUUCCAUUCUUCCCAUUCACAUUUUGGUGAUAAUUACAAGGUCAAAUUCUGUUAUAAUCCUCAGUUUUUACUUGCUCAUAAUAUUUUCAUUAAAAAUUUCCUAAGUGCCUUAGAUUUUUACAGUCAGAUUUUGCCCAGAGACUGCUUUAUUGCUAGUUUGAGGGAGUGUAACCUAAUAGUUUGAAGUUCAAACACAAAAGUUAAUGGCAAUCUGAAUACACUUAUUACAUGUUUAUUUAUAACAAAAACUUGGAAAAUAAAUUGAAAUUGUACAGAAGACAAUUCAAUAACACGUGCAGGCUCUUGGUUCAGAAUGGAAUGCUUUUUCUCAUAAGGUUUUGAGCAUAACUAGGGAAUUGCUCAGUUUAAAAUGGCUCAGCAUCUGCUGAAAAAGACUAAGAGGUGCUUUGAGUGGUUGCAUCAUUAUUUUAAUCCUACAAUAGUCCUUUUACAUGUUUGAAAAAUCCAAGAAAAAUUAGAAUCAAUGAACUCUAGUGCUGCCAAAUUAUGUUCUGUAGUUAAUAGGAAAAUACAAAUAUUAUGAAAAAUUACAAUUCUGGCAUACAAGUCAUCAAUGUAACCUUUUAAGGUAUUACAUCCUUUUUAGUCUACACAUUCCUUAGCAAUGGUUCCUUGUUUUGGCUUCUCCCUCCCUCUGUAAGGAACUCAGCAUUGGUCACUUUUCAGUAUAAAAUCUCUUCUGAAGGUUUUGGAAACAGAACUGGAAAUCGUAUUGUGGGUAUUUUCUUGCUGCUUGCAUAUAUGCCAUCUCUCAAGUAAAAUGAUAACAUUUUCGCUGAGUAUUCAGGUAUAUCACAAUUGGAUGCUGAUAUUUCUCAGUUGUUUUAUUUUGGUCCUGAUAAUAUGAAUUAUUGGUAUUUCAUGUAUGUGACACGUUACCUAAGGUGUAUUUUAUGUACGAAGGUCUGUUCAGCUACUCAUUUGUCAAAAAGAAGAGUCAGUGUUCACGUUGUAUGCCUAAAGCUAGGUUUGCUAGCGGAGCUUGCACAUUCACAUUUUUGCUGAUGUUACUCAUUCUGUCAAGUUAUAGAACCAGCAUGCAACUGACCUUUAUAAACUGAGUCAUAAACUUUUAUUCUGUUCCCAUUGUGGCUUACCACAACACAGACCCCUCCAGGGCAGCAAGCAUUCCCCUUCAUGCCCUCCCCUGCGGUGUCUGUUACCUCCAGAUGGAGGUAAGAGAAGGCCCAAGGACAUUGUCAGGGGUGCAUAUCAGUAGGGAGAAGAUGCUUUCUUCAUCCUAUAUCAAAUAAAAGGUUAGUGUACCAUCACUGUGCUCUGCCUUCCUCUCAAAGGGACUUUUGGUUUUAAUUCCUUCUUGAUACCAUGUCUUGUAGGCAAACCCCUUGGAGCAAGACCAGAGUAGGGAAAUAGGAGAACAGAGCAGAAAAUGGCGUUUGUUGUUUUCUACUCACCUCCCUGCUGGCUGUUUACACACUUCUUAGCAGAGAGCACUACAGUGCUCUCUGCAAGGUCACAGAUCUUAAGGUCAGGUUGCAAAAGGCAGUUCAGCAACACUUCUCAGCAGCCAGGCUUUAAGCACUCAUUAAGAACAGAACAUGACAGCAUCAGCCCAGGAUGUUAGUGAGUGUACCAGUUCUGGGCAACUGAGUUUCAUAAUUGUCCACAGUGAAAUGAAGUGAGACCCUAAGACCAGGAAAAAUCUUUUCUAUAAUUUCAAUUUCCCUGCUGCCUCUUUUGCAGAUGAAAAAAGGACCCUUUUUGAGGAUGAAAGAACAGCUCGAAUUCUGCAGUCAAGCCUGUGCUUCUGCUGAAGUCACUGUAAGAGUGACAGCUGCAGUAAUGAAUUUCAGUAUGAAGAUUAUAUAAACAUCCUCCCAUUCCUCAAAGAACUGGCCAAGACUGUCAUGUAUUUCACACAGGCUUCUUUCAGACAUCAGGUAGCAAUUGCUUUUGGUCAUUAGUGGCCUGGACUGAUACUGAAAUGUUAAUUAGUCCUAAAGGUUACAAAACCAUCAUCAGCUGGAUCUGAGCAGCUACUUCAAUGCUUCCCAGUUCAAGUACUACAUGCAGGAAGGUUUUGUGACCGUUAGGUUUUUAGUAACACUACUUUAUGAUUGUAGGAAGGGUUCAAGGACAAAAAAACUGUCAGGUGUGGAAGGGGAUUGAUUCAGGCACCUCUUGAAGAAGCUCAAUCCACAUACAGACCUGGUGGGCUGCACCCAAAGGUGUUGUCAUUCUGAGGCUGCUCACUAUCAUCUCUGAAAGGUCAUGGAGACUGGGGAGGUCUUCCGUGACUGCAGAAAGGCAGAUGAUGCACCCACCUUCAGAAAGUGUGUGAAGGACAAUCUAGCAACCUAUCAAACAAUGAUAGUGUGAGCAAUCUUGGCAGAAAUUUCUGGCCAUGUGAAGGAGAUGGUGGCGAUUGGGAACAGCCAGCAUGGAUUUACAAAGGUAAAUAAUGCCAGACCAACUUAAUUGCCUCUUGUGAUGAGGUGACUUCAUCUCUCAAGGAGGGGAAAGCAGACACUGUUGUCUACCUUGAGUUUAGCCAGGCUUUCCAUGUAGUCUCUCACAGAAUCCUUGUAUCCAGCUUCAGAUGGUCCAGUCUAGCUUGGCAAAAAACUAACUGAAUCAUUGGUCCAAAGGGCUUAUGCUCUGUCCAGAGGCUGGUUACAGUGUUCCCUGUGGGUCUGUCUGGUCUUUAUCAAUGACUUAGAGGAAGAGAUAGGAUGCAGUACUGUCAUUAUACUUAAUGGAGGGUAGGCUUGAUAUACUUGAGACCAGACCUGCCAUUCAGAGGGAUUUACACUUGCCAGAGGACUAGGUCAACAGGAACAUCAUGAAAUUCAGUCAGGACAAAUAGAGAGCUCUUUAUCUCAGAUGGACUGACCCCCAGGGCUUGGUUAGCAAGCUAAAAAGGACAUGGGAGGCUUGGGGCAGGCUGAACAGGAGUCCAUGGUAAACUCUGGCACCAGUGAAAGUGCAUCAGACUGGAUCAACAGGAGAACAGAUGGCAGAUCAAGGGAAUUGAUUAUUCUGUUUUACUCAGCACUCAUUAGACCACAGCUGGCAUAGUGGGUUCUGUCUUGAGUCUCCCAGUACAUGAAAGCUGCUGAUAAAUGUGAACAAUUCCAUUGGAGGGUCAGCAGGAUGGCUGGAGGUUGAAGCAUGAGAAUUGUGAGGAGAGGCUGAGACACUGGGGUUUAUUCAGCCUAUGGAAGAGAACAGCAAUUUUCCAGUUCCUAAGAGUAGGUUACUGAGAAGACAGGGCUGGGCUCUCUGCCAAAGAAUGAGAGACGAAGGCUAUAAAUGAAUAGGGGAGGUGCUGGCUAGAUAGAAGGAGGAAAAAAAAUGACACUUCGGGAAUAAUUAGCUAGUGGAACAGAUUACCCAGAGGGGUUGUGCGGUCCCCACAAGGGGGAUUUUAAGACCUGACUGGAUAAUGACAUAAGCAACCUGGGACACCCCCAAAAUCCCUUCCAUUCUGAAUUAUUUUAUGGUAACUCUCAGGAUGGAUCUUCUCCAUCUUCUUUGUAGAAUUUCCUCCAUGUAACAUAGUUCCUAUCAGUCUAUGUAUUUGAAGUCCGUGUAUAUGCUGCCAUUUGUCCCACAGACCAGGAAAACUAUAUAAAAGGUUGCCCCCCCGAGUUUUAACUAAACAAGAUCUAAGACUAUUUGAGCAAGAACAACACUAGACAAGAUGAGACAAUUUUUUUUAUUGUUUUAGUAUGAGUGAAUAGAUUAAGAGAUCUGAAAUGUUGUAAAGCAAUAUACAUACUGAAUAAAUAAUAUGCACAGGAGAGUCAUGUCUACAUUAUAACACUGGCUAGUAUUCAGAAUACUUCAAAUAAAUCCAGUGACAUUGGAUAAAGUCCAUAAAAAUGCUAUCCUGUCUUCCCUUGUAUGAAAUUGUUCAAGUAUAAAAAAAAUCCAAUACAGUGUAAAAUAUUAAAUUCCAUUUCAGUCAAGAAUAAAAAUUGCAAGUAUUGUAGUUUCACAGGACAAUGUAAAGCAGCAUUUUCUAGCAAAGGGAAAAAUAGUCAGUCUACAUACAGAUGAGUGAGAAAACGGCACUAAUGUAUUUGAGAGGUCUACAUGAAUUAACUAGUAGAGGGAAAAAGAAUGAACUAGCAAUGUUUUAUGUAAAAACCUAAAAAAGUGUUAAUUUAAGAGUACCCUCAUACAGUGCACAUACUAAAAUUAAAUAAAUCCAAGUCAACAUCCUUAGUUAAUUAGGUUAAUAUUUAAUAUGCUACAUCUAAGCCUACUAAAUAAUUUAUACCAUGAGAUGAAUACAUAAUUUUACAGUGUCACAUCUAAAGUCGCUUUCUUCAGAGCGCAGCAUAGUAAAACUUUCAAAAUAAAUAUUUCUUUUUAAAUAGCAUAACAAUUAAGGCACAGUAUAAAUCACAUACCAUUAACCCUUCAAGAACUGCAA